rnacentral:rRNA from 1 species
CGGGGGGAGCAAGCGUUGCUCGGAUUUACUGGGCGUAAAGGGCGCGUAGGCGGCCACCGCAAGUCGACUGUGAAAUCUCCGGGCUUAACCCGGAAAGGUCAGCCGAUACUGCGGGGCUAGAGUGCAGAAGGGGCAACUGGAAUUCUCGGUGUAGCGGUGAAAUGCGUAGAUAUCGAGAGGAACACCUGCGGCGAAGGCGGGUUGCUGGGCUGACACUGACGCUGAUGCGCGAAAGCUAGGGGAGCGAACGGGAUUAGAUACCCCCGGUAGUCCUAGCCUUAAACGAUGAAUGCUUGGUGUCUGGGGUUUUAUAGUCCCCGGGUGCCGUACGCUAACGCUUUAAGCAUUCCGCCUGGGGAGUACGGUCGCAAGACUG